CCUUGACGGUACCUAACCAGAAAGCCACGGCUAACUACGUGCCAGCAGCCGCGGUAAUACGUAGGUGGCAAGCGUUGUCCGGAAUUAUUGGGCGUAAAGGGCUCGCAGGCGGUUUCUUAAGUCUGAUGUGAAAGCCCCCGGCUCAACCGGGGAGGGUCAUUGGAAACUGGGAAACUUGAGUGCAGAAGAGGAGAGUGGAAUUCCACGUGUAGCGGUGAAAUGCGUAGAGAUGUGGAGGAACACCAGUGGCGAAGGCGACUCUCUGGUCUGUAACUGACGCUGAGGAGCGAAAGCGUGGGGAGCGAACAGGAUUAGAUACCCUGGUAGUCCACGCCGUAAACGAUGAGUGCUAAGUGUUAGGGGGUUUCCGCCCCUUAGUGCUGCAGCUAACGCAUUAAGCACUCCGCCUGGGGAGUACGGUCGCAAGACUGAAACUCAAAGGAAUUGACGGGGGCCCGCACAAGCGGUGGAGCAUGUGGUUUAAUUCGAAGCAACGCGAAGAACCUUACCAGGUCUUGACAUCCUCUGACAACCCUAGAGAUAGGGCUUUCCCUUCGGGGACAGAGUGACAGGUGGUGCAUGGUUGUCGUCAGCUCGUGUCG
rnacentral:rRNA from 1 species